CUUAGGCCGUGUUUACACCAAACGCCAUGUACAGUAAACAUGUUUAAAAUUAGUUUAAUGUAAUGUACAUUGGUUUCACAUUAAAUUUGUUCACAUCUAUACACCUGGUUUAGUUACCUGUGCAUAAGUUUUGUUCACACUUAUAAACUAUAUGUCAUUUAAAUGUUCAUUACAUAGUUAAGAAUUGAAUGCUCUUUUUUGUAAAUUUAUUGGGGUGUAAAAGCGUUGACCGAAGUACAUUUUGUAUGAAGCGCGGAAG
rnacentral:lncRNA from 1 species